rnacentral:rRNA from 1 species
CCUACGGGGGGCAGCAGUGGGGAAUAUUGCACAAUGGGGGAAACCCUGAUGCAGCGACGCCGCGUGAGUGAAGAAGUAAUUCGGUAUGUAAAGCUCUAUCAGCAGGGAAGAAAAUGACGGUACCUGAGUAAGAAGCCCCGGCUAACUACGUGCCAGCAUCCGCGGUAAUACGUAGGGGGCAAGCGUUAUCCGGAUUUACUGGGUGUAAAGGGAGCGUAGACGGCAGUGCAAGUCUGAAGUGAAAGGCGGGGGCUCAACCCCCGGACUGCUCUGGAAACUGUACGGCUGGAGUGCAGGAGAGGUAAGUGGAAUUCCUAGUGUAGCGGUGAAAUGCGUAGAUAUUAGGAGGAACACCAGUGGCGAAGGCGGCUUACUGGACUGUAACUGACGUUGAGGCUCGAAAGCGUGGGGAGCAAACAGGAUUAGAUACCCCAGUAGUC